CCCUUAGACGUUCUAGGCGGCACGCGCGCUACAAUGGGUGGUAGAACGUGUAACUGCUCCCGAAAGGGAGGGUGAACCACGAAUACUUACCCGUGAAUGGGAUAGUUUGUUGCAAUUUUCGGACUUGAACUAGGAAUCCCUUGUAAGAAUGCUCAAGAAUAGCGUGCUGAAUACGUCCCUGCCGUUUGUACACACCGCCCGUCGUUUCUUCCGACUGAUACUCAUUGUGAGUUGCAAGGAUUCUUAUUGAAAAAUUGCUGCGAAUGCUUUGUAUUGGAGGAAGAAAAAGUCGUAACA
rnacentral:rRNA from 1 species